rnacentral:rRNA from 1 species
GACGAACGCUGGCGGCGUGCUUAACACAUGCAAGUCGAACGGUGAAGCCGGAGCUUGCUCUGGUGAAUUAGUGGCGAACGGGUGAGUAACACGUGAGUAACCUGCCCUUGACUCUGGGAUAACUGCGGGAAACUGUAGCUAAUACCGGAUACGACCCUCGGAGGCAUCUCCUGGGGGUGGAAAGAAUUUCGGUCAAGGAUGGACUCGCGGCCUAUCAGCUAGUUGGUGAGGUAAAGGCUCACCAAGGCGACGACGGGUAGCCGGCCUGAGAGGGUGACCGGCCACACUGGGACUGAGACACGGCACAGACUCCUACGGGAGGCAGCAGUGGGGAAUGUUGCACAAUGGGCGCAAGCCUGAUGCAGCAACGCCGCGUGAGGGAUGACGGCCUUCGGGUUGUAAACCUCUUUUAGCAGGGAAGAAGCGAAAGUGACGGUACCUGCAGAAAAAGCACCGGCUAACUACGUGCCAGCCGCCGCCGUAA